rnacentral:lncRNA from 1 species
GAAAAAUGCCAGGGUAAAACUUUCCAAGGAAACCACACAAAAGCCACCAGAGAAAGGGAGAGGCCAAGUACAACCUGCUCUCAUUCUUACUUGUUAUUCUGUCUGCAUUACUUGGGGCGAAAGUCACAGGACCUUGCUUACCCUUGUCUCUUUUCUUGGCCACGUUCAAAGAUAUGCCAUCCUCAUAGUCUGAUGUUUCAUCCCAAGCAUCUGACACGUGUCAGACACAAUUCAAGAUGCUGAUGCUUACAAAUCUUCACAAGGGCAUUCAACAUUCCAUCCUGUUUCAUCACGAUCCUACAACAUAUUAUCUCCCCAUUUUAUAGAUGAGAAAAUUGAAGUUCACAGAGGCCAACCCUCUUAAUACGUAGAAGAGCAGCGUACAAGCUCCACUCUAUGACUCCAGAGCCUGAUAACCUAACUACUAUGCUUCCUGGCUUAGCACUUGCUGGGACUUUCCACAGAAGACUAUCAUUCCCUGAACUCAGUGCUGGAAAAUCAAUUGUGUGACCCAUUUCACCAAGCCAUGGACUCGCAGAGCUUUGUUUCUGUCCCAUUUGACUGAGCAAUGCUUAUGCUGGAUUGCAAAGGUGGAACACACUCCCUGGUUCCUCAGAAUAGCCACUCCUCUUUGCUCCAACAACAUUGGCUCUUUUGCUGCUGGACUAGCCCAGCAAAUGUGUCGAUGAGAAGUUAUGUGUCUGCUACCCAUGGGAAAAGGACAUCUCCACGUUUCUAAAAAAAUAGCAGUUUUCAGCUUUCUCCUCUGGUAAGGCAGAGUAGGGGAGAACUGGAGCUUUCAAGUAGGGCAGACUCAGGUUUGCAUCCUAACCUCAUUCCUUAUCAGCUGUGCAACCUGAGGCAAGUGUCUCAACCUCUCAGUUGCCUCAUUUUUCAAAAGCGACAUAAGAAUAGUCUCUGAAUCAUUAAGUUAAUUAAGAGAAUUUUUUAAAAUUACAUAAACCUACUAGCAAAUGCUAGUAGCAAUGGCUCAUGCCUAUAAUCCCAACACUUUGGGAGGCCAAAGAAGGAGGGUCGCCUGAGGCCAGGAGUUCAACAACAGUCUGGGUAACAUAGUGAGGCCCUGUCUCUACAAAAAAAUUUUAAAAGUUAGCCAGGUGUGGUGGCACAUGCCCGUAGUACCAGCCACUCCGGAGGCUGAGGCAGGAGGAUCAGUUGAGCCUGGGGGGUUGAGGUUGCAGUGAGUCAUUAUCAUGUCCCUGCACUCUGGGUGAUAGAGUGAGACACUGUCUCAAACAAAACAAGAUAAAACAAAACAAAAAAGAUAUGCUCAUUACUGUCUCUAUGGAAAAAUUAGCAUCUUGUAAAACACCAGAGCAAUUUGCAAUGAGCUGUUCCUAGUUCCUCCCUCCCCAGCCCAUCUUCAGCUAGACCUAACCUCCCUCUAUUCUAAAGCUCUGGGAAAGUCUGGAGCUAAGACCAUUAAUUUCAAGGCUCCCUGGACCACCUUAAAGCCAGGAAACUGAUCCAUCCCACACCUGUCUUCGUUUCUCUCUUCUUUUCCAUAAGACCUCUUACUCAUCACUGGCCCACCGUUGGCUGGCUUUCUCCACCUCAGCAUUUCGCACUGUGGGUUACCAUGUGGCUGGAUGUGCUAUGAGGAAAACAAUUUCACUUCCUUUAAAACCUGCCAUUUGAAAAUAGUAACACCCUGGCCACCCAAAUGAAAAAAGUGAGACUUUUCAAAAGGAAAGAAGGAAAGGAACAAAGAAGGAAAGAAAAGAAAAGAAAAAGAAUUAUUCUUACAUACAGUUUUCAGAGGGCAAUUUAGGAUCAUCUAUUAAAAUGUGUUUUCUCAUAAGAAACUAUGAAGAGCAGAUACCUGUGUGGGUGGUCCUGGGGGCUGGGAGUAGGGAGUGUGAAGAGAGCUUUCUUUCUUUCCUUUUUUUUUUUUUCUUAAGAGAUAGAGUCUUGCUCUGUUGUCCAGAUUGGCCUUGAACUCCUGGUCUCAAGCAAUCCACCCGCCUUGGCCUCCCAAGGAGCUUUUCUUUUUACCUUGUAUCCUUCUGUACUCUUUGAAUAUUUUGCCAUGAAUGUGUAUUUCUUUUAUAAUAUUAAAAACAGUUAACUAAAAUGAAUAAAUACAUUUCCCUGAUCUGAUUUAUUCUAUGGAAACAUUUGUUCAAAAUAUAUAAAGAUGUAAUAAAAAGGAUUUUCACAGAAGCAUUAUUUAUUACACUAAAAUAAACUGGAAAAACUUAAAUAUCCAUCAAUAGACAAAUGGUUAAAUUAGUUAUGGUUAAACAUCCAUCUGUGUAUGGUUAAAUUCGUCAUCAUACAUAAUGACUACUCUGUAACCAUUAACAGAUAAUAAAGUUCAUCUAUACAGAGGGACAAAAGUAUAUACCAAGUGUUAAAGAGCAGAUUUAAAGCAACAGAUGGAGCAUCAUCCCAUUUUUGGAAGAAGAGAUUAUGUAUUAGUAUAUGCAAUAUCCAAAGAAAUAAUACAAGAAGAAAAACAUUCCAAGCUGCUAACACUGGUUCUUUGUUGUAGGUUCCACUGUGGCAGAAUUUCACAAAGUUAUAUAUUCUUAUGAUAUUUGAAGUUUUUACAGAGAGUGUGAAGCAGGAGGAAAAGCAGAGAAAUGAAAAUAAUAUUUUAAUACAGUUAGAAGUUUCAAAAACAUCAUAGUGUCAACUUAGAUGAUUAUGGGAGAGGAAUAAGGGGUAUGCAUCAAAUGCUGGGUGUGCGAAAUGAUGCACGCCCUUGUAACCGCAUAACCCCAUUAGCAGUGAGCAGCAGCUAGAGAGCACCUGCCACCUGCUCAUCUGUAUCCAUGGGGGUUCAAGUACAUGACAGUCUCUCUCAUGUUCUUCUUGAGGGAUAGCCUUUUUCUUCAUAGAUUCUAAUAAAGUAAUUCAGUGUGCUUUUAUAUGGGUAUAUUUAUCUUAUAAGUGAAAUGAUAACUCAGGAAUAAUGUCCAAGCCCCAUUCUUACUAGAUCAAGGUAACAUGAUCCUAGCAUGUUGAAAACAUGUGUGUUUAGAUUUUCUUACAAAAGGGAGCAGAGAGAAAAGGACUUAUGUGGAAAUUAGGAGCAAGAACUAAGUGAUAUUUUCCAAGCAUAAAGUAGAUUCUCAAGGCAUCCUCUGUAUUGUUUCUGUCAGUAUCUCUGAGCUGUGAAUAUUCCUUCAAAGACCUUCCUCCCAGAAUAAGAAAUAUGAAAUGUUAAAUGAGUUUGAAAGAACGUAUUUUUUGUGUCUUCUUUUUAAGCACUGAAGGACCAGUAGCCAAAAUACAUAAGUGCAUAAAAACUUCAUUGCAUUUCAGGAAAUAACUGCUUGCACUGAGGCGAUGUUCAAUUAAUAUCUGUUAAUUGAUUGAAGGAACAGCAAGUAAAACCAAGUAUGCAGCAGAAAGUGAUUAUUGUGAACCCUAUGACAAAACUUUUAAUGGAAAUGAUUUGGAAUAAGAUUUCCAGAAAAAUUGGCAGGUGGAUAAAAAUCUCUUGACAAUGAAAAUGUAGGUUAAAACUAGUCUGCCCAAAGUGUUUAGCUGGUAGUUAAAGAGCUCCUACAAAUUAAAUAAAAUACUAAUAAACUUAUAGGAAAAUGAACAAAAGGAAUAUAUUUAAGCAUAUGGAAAGAUGCUUAAUGUCACUAUAACAACAGAAAUGCAAAUAAAUUAUACUUAAGUACUAUUUUUUAAACCCCUAUCAGAUUAGCAAAGAUCAAAACAUAAGAUAAUGGUGUUUGUGAGGUUUUGAGAAAACAUGCUUCUCACAUGUGGCCCUGGGGAAUGUUCACUGGUACAACUUCUGUAGAGAGUAAUUUGCUCAUAGUCAACAAAAUAACAGAUGCAAAUAUCCUUUGACUCAGCAAUUCCACUUCUAGAAAUGUUUUCUACAGACUGGAGCUUCUCAGCCUCAGCAUUAUUGACAUUUUGGGCUGAAUAAUUUUUUGUUGUGAGUCUGUCCUGUGAAUUGUAGGAUAUUUAGCAGCACCCUCAGCUUCUACCCACUAGAUGUUGGUGGCACCCUCCUCCCCACUUAUAACAACCAAAAAUUUCCCCAGGUUUUGUCAAAUGUCCCCUGGUGGGCAAAAUCACCUUUGGUUGAGAACCACUGUUAUAAAAGUAUUUAUGGAAAAUGACACAUCUACA